CUAAAGCAGCGGCGGCCGGAGCGAGUUCGUUGGCGUGCCACCUUCUGCGGUCUGAAGCGCCCAGAGGCGAGGCUGGAUCGUGAUUCAGCGGGACUUACAGAGUUGCCUCAGAGUACUUUAUGCUUUUGCAAGCAAGUGCGUGAAUGUGGAUGAGAGACCCUUUCACCAGGAAAGCUGAUAGAUCGGGGCAGGCAGGUUUAGGAUUGAGUACCGAAUCCUGGAAAGUACCGCCGCUCAGGAUUAUAAGUAGUGGUGGUGGUGUCUGAGGGGUGGACUUUUUCCUCUUUUAUUAGUAGUGGUAACUAAUGCUUAGUAUGGCGUUUAGUUCCGUGCUGAGUGCUUUUUACAUACAUCUCAAUCCUCAAAAUAACCCUAAGAGGUAGGCGCUAUUUUGUCUCCAUUUUAUAAAUGAAAAACGAAGUUUGGGACACUUGCUUAGGUAUCAGAGCUGUGAACCGAGUUCUGUGCCUGGGGCUCCUAGUUCCCUCGCGCCAGUACCCUCCCUCAUGUGCGAGUGUAAUUUUGAAAAGGGGUGGUGGUGGUGGGAGCUGCUCGAGUCUUAGGAAGAGCCCUAUUUAUGGUGUAGGAGAGUACUCCUACAUUCUCUUCUGCACUUUGGACCUCCCCGGGAAAUAGGUUGAUUCUGUGGAGUUUUGUGCCCAAGAAGGAAGUGUCUCGGCCAAGUUGGAAAAUUCUCCACUUUUAAAAUUUGAAUUAUGUUACAGUUGAAAAAAAAAAAAAAAAAAAGCACGGUCCUGUGAGCAAUUCCUUCAAGGUAAGACAAUUGUAUUAACUACUCCCAAAGACAUGUGGAACAUGUUUACUGUCCCACUCUACUUUGUAAAUUUUUUUUUAUUAGUACAUGCUUGUAGUGUGUAAUAUUUACAUUUCUUGUGGGGAGUUGGUAUGUAUACACAAUACAUUUUAAUUCCUUUUUUCAUCCCCGUUCUCUUCCUUUCCUCCCUCUCCUCAUCUCUUGAUCCCCUCCCCUCUUUUUUGAGUACAUGUUUGCAGUGCAUACAUGUUAAUGUUCUUAUGUGGAAUUACUUUUUUUUUUUUUUUUUAAAGAAAUGAACGUUGAAUGUGUAGUUCUAAAAUUUAGAAUAAGGGAUGGGGAUUUAGCUCAGUGCCUGGCAAGUGAAAGGUCCUGAGUUCAAUUCCUGGUUAACCGCCCCCCCCCUCCGAGAUAUACAAUUUAGGAUAAUUAUUUUUAGCAUUUUUUAACAAGAGACUUCUUGCUACUGAUGUUUAGUUUACAAUUCAGCAGUUUAAUAUUUCAGAUCAUCUGAAAAACGUGUAAGAAAUUUGUCUUAAAAAUGUACAUUUAAUUGAAAAGUUUCAAAAGUUGUUACUGAAGUAAUCAUUAUAAAUCAUCCGUGGGCUAAACAAUAUACCCUUUAUAAGUGCUUGGAGUAAUCAUCAAAACCUGUCAGACAUUUUCAUCCUACCAGUAUUUAUUUAUAGCCAUCAAUUAAUGGCUAUUCAGGCAGGAAGUUACCUUUAUUUUGCCUUUUUAAGAUGUCUGCUGGAAGGUUCAUGAACCCUAGAGAAGAGGAUGAAGUAGUAAUUUCUGGAUCAUAGUCUUCCUGAGACUCUGGGCAACUUCUUCCCCCACCGUUUAAUCAUUACAAUAUCCCUUGUAAUUCUCAUGAUUUCAUUUAAUUCAUUGCCAAGCUCUGCAUUUGACACAUGAAGAAAUUGACCCAAUAAGUGAUGUCAGUCAAAUGAUUUGCAUAGGGUCAUAUAAAGAAAUGGUAGAACAGAAAGGAUAAUGAACAUGGAUUAAAAAACUCGAAGUUGAGGUGGUUGUGGGGUGCUGUAUAUAGGGUGAGCUCAGAAGAGAGAUCUAGACUGCACAUAAAAAACCCGAAUCUUCAGGGUUACAUUUAGCAAUGUGACUUGAAGUUUAAGUACAUCUCCAAGAAAUAAGAGCAAAGAUUUUUACAUUCUGUCUAGUUAUAUUCACAAGCAUUUAGUCCAUCUCUAAGAGUUGCCAAAGCCCUGGCGGUUUCAUGUUGCUGAAUACUCAGAGUUCAGAGUUGCCUCUGAGAUUUAAGGCGGACUAUUAGGUGUGAGCCUUUAUAAAAAUGAAAGGAAAGUUAAAUGCUUCCAACAACAAUGGCACAAGAUAAACAUUAUCAUUCCAAUAGGUACAAAUGGGGGGAAUGAAUGAAAUGAAUGAAUGAAAAGGAAUGCGACCAAAGCAAGACCUAAAUCCAGCAGGGAAGACAUUAAAAUCCAUAGUUUCACGUACAGCACCCAGAGAAAUCUGUGGCAAGAUGUGAACUCCAAAGGGCUUGGACAGCCCUGCCCCUCUAGCAUCACUGGUGGUUGUAGUCUUCUCGAGUUCUCUCUCUCUUUUUUUUUUUGGUACCAAGGAUCAAACUCAGGGCCUUGUGCUUUUGAGGCAGGCAGCAGCACCACUGAGCUAAAUCCCUGGCCCUUCUUGGGUUCUCUCUUGGGCCAUCUUCGCUCGCUUCUUGUAGCUUUCCUCAGACAUUCUGAGAUCCUGGCUUCUCCAACAUUCUGAGGUCUCCACUGUACUCCCUUCACGGAGCUUCACACACUGCCCUCUCAGGAGCACUACUGCCUGGCCUCCAAGGCCUGAAAUCUGGGUGGAAGGCUCCCUGACCUUACAUGUCUUGCAUUCUGCAUGUGUAUAAAUCCAACACCAUGUUGAUGAUGCCAAGGUCUGCCUCCAGCAAGAGCGAUAGCCAGACUUCCUUCUGUCAUGGCUGUAGGAAGUCUCUUGAGUGCCUGGAUGGCUGAUCACUGAACUGAAUCCGGAGGAACAAAUUCCCUAGGCAGCCACCAUUCUGGACCUUGGCACCCUAGGGUUCCCUUUUCAAAGCAAAGGCAUUCACCUUUGCAAUUUUGAACCUUGCUGACUUCUCAUAUUCCCUCAAGGCAUUUUUCCUUUUGUCCAGUUCCAAAAUACUUAGCUUCCUGUUAAUGCUAAUCCUUUUAACAACCAAGUUCUCUUCUGCUCCAUUUUUGCAGGCCCCAACUUUACCAGAGUUGCCUUUCUGACCAAACUCAAAACUUUUUAAAUCAUUCUGCUGGGCUAUUUGCUCUUGCUUUUCAAAGUUGAGCUGGCUAAGAGCCCCCAACAGUAGCUGUGCCACUGUCUCAACAUUAGACUGCCUUGAAAUUUCUUCUACCAGAUUAAUUGGUCUGCUGCCCUUAAUUUUAGUGUACGGCAAUGUCUCAAGACAGGAGGAAAAUGUAGACAAAUUUUCUGGUAGAGCAUAACACACAUAUUCUGGAGUCCAAUUGCCAAUGGAGUCUUUGUUCCCAACUGAAAUCUCCUGAGCCUAGUCUUCACUGGCUGGAUUUUUACCAGCAUUCUGGUCUGAGCUCUGACUAGAAUCUCUCAUUAAACUCAGCUCACAGCAUUCUAGGACUGCUUCUCCAGCUGGUAUCUCCAGACCUUUCCAGACUCCUCAUGUGAGCCAGUUUCAAAGGCUUUUCAACUCCAUGGCCAGGUAACAUCACAGCAACAACUCCACUUCUCUGGUACUAAAAUCUGUUUUAGUCAUUUUCUCAUUACUAGGACACCUACAAAUUAAAGGAGAAGAAGCUCACAGUUUGUAGAGGUUUCAGUCCUUAAUCAGAAGGCUCCAAGGCAGGGUGGCAUGGAAGUGGGGCAUGGCAGAGGAGAAAGUGCUCAUGACAUGGCAGGAAUCAAAGGAUGAGGGAGGGAGACAAUCUUUCUAGGCCACACUCCGAGAGACCCACCUUCACAAACCAGACUUUACCUUGAAACAUCACAUUUAGCUAUAAACUCAUUAGUAGCCAAAUCCACUCAUGAGUGUCACAUUCUCAUGUUUCAGUCAACACCUCAAAGUCUCACCUAUGAGUGCAUGAGGCUUUGGGGAACAUCUAUAUAUAAACCAUAACACAGGCUAAGUUAAUAAUACUUGUAAAUUCUUUGUCAGCUUAGUUCAAAUUUAAGAAUCUGUGAGUCCUUGACAAACAUGGGUUAUUCAUGUGGAUAUGCUGUGAGGCAAGUCAUUUUCUUAAGACUUAAUUGGCAAAUCAAUGAAAGCUUUGAAUCUAAUCCGCCAGUAAAAGGAGCUAUGCUGUUUCUUUUCCUCAGUGAGGUAAUUAUAAAGAGGUGUACUGUAUCUACAGUGACACAGACUGUUAUCACUAGAUUAGAAAUUGCCACAUGUGACAAACAUGAUUUCAGUUUCCUUUUAGUAUUCAAGCUUAAAGGAGUAUAUGCCCUAUAAUUAUACUUAUUAUCAGUGAAGAAGAAAUAAAAGAUUCAGAAGAAGAAGAUUUUUCAGAUGGGAUUUUUGAAUUAAAGAAGACAUAUUGACAAGACUUUGUGUGGAUUUAGUGAAAUAAUGUAUUUGAUGAAAUAAUACAAAACAUCUCCCUCAUGGUAAAGUUAGUAAGGGUAUUGUCAUCUGUAAUGAAGAUCACUGUGAAAGAGAAGGUUGAAUAACACUGGACCUGGAUUAGAGAUUUAGAAAAGAAAAUUAAAAUUAAUCACUUCAGUUUUUGUGUUCAAAUUUCAUAAUAUUUAUUAUUUUUCUAAACAGAUUUAGGGAGUAGAAAUUAAAAUUCAGUGCCAUACCAAAGGAUAUCCUAAUAUUUGUUCUGGCAUGAUUUUCUUUGCAUAUGAGAGAAGAGAAUAGAUAGCUAAGAGCUAUAGUUGUUCAUAAUGAAGUACACUAAAUCCAAUUUUAUGAUGUCAGUUCUUGGCAUUAUAAUCUAUAUAACUGAUUUAAUUGUGGACAUCUGGGUAUCUGUCAGAUUUUUCCAUGAAGGACAGUAUGUUUUUGGUGUUUUAACAUUAAGCUUUAUGCUUUUUGGAACACUAGUGGUCCAGUGUUUUAGUUAUUCUUGGCUGAAAACUGAUUUGAAGAAAGUAAGUCAAGAAAGUCAGCAUUGUUUUCUUCUACUUCAUUGCUUACAAGGAGGAGUUUUUAUAAGGUGAGUCUACACUUUUGAUCACUAACAUUGUUAUUCAUUUAUCCAAAUUUUUUUUUAUCCGAAUAUUAACUAGCUUUUUGUGUCUGGGAAGUCAAAUGUGCAAAGGUCUCCUAUUUGUAAGUAGCACAAAGGUUACUUUCUCUUCAUUGUUGAUGUCUAUAUGAGUCAUUGCUAUACUGUCAGACUUUUCCAGAUUCAUUAAUACAGUAUUUUAAUUACCCAAUUAAGUUACUUUUUCUGCUAUGUACUCACUUUGAUCCUUUUAUGUGUAUUCUAAAUCUGAUAGUGCAAAUAUAGCCUAUCAUUUGCAACUCUGAGAGAACACUUAUUUUUUAAAAUUACUUCUACCACUGAUUUGACUAAAUGAAAAUUGUACUAUGAACUGUAGUUGUGUAGUUAGCUAGAUACAAAGUCAUAAGACAACUAAAAUAACCUUGAAAAUCAUGUUAAAGCCUUAUCUUCUGGUUAAAAAAACUAGAAACUAAAUAGGCCUUGAGAAUUUCAUGAA